UGUAUUGGACAACCAUAGCUUUCACGGGUAACGGAGGAUUAGGGUUCGAUUCCGGAGAGGGAGCCUGAGAAACGGCUACCACAUCUAAGGAAGGCAGCAGGCGCGUAAAUUACCCAAUCCUGACUCAGGGAGGUAGUGACAAGAAAUAACGGACCGAAGCCUUUGUUUCGGGAUUGCAAUGAGUCGAAUUUAAACCCCUUUAUGAGGAUCAAUUGGAGGGCAAGUCUGGUGCCAGCAGCCGCGGUAAUUCCAGCUCCAAUAGCGUAUAUUAAAGUUGUUGCAGUUAAAAAGCUCGUAGUUGGAUUUCUGGAGGGGUGCCAAUGUCCGCUUGUUGCGUGUGCAGCGGCGCCCUUCCAUCCUUCUGUUAACGUUUCUGAUAUUCAUUUAUUGGUCUCGGGCUCAGAUAUUUUACCUUGAGAAAAUUAGAGUGUUCCAGGCAGGCUUGCGCCGGAAUACAUUAGCAUGGAAUAAUAGAAUAGGACUUUAGUCUCCUUUGUUGGUUUGAGGGACUGAAGUAAUGAUUAGUAGGGAUAGUUGGGGGCAUUAGUAUUUAAUUGUCAGAGGUGAAAUUCUCGGAUUUGUUAAAGACUAACUUAUGCGAAAGCAUUUGCCAAGGAUGUUUUCA
rnacentral:rRNA from 1 species